rnacentral:rRNA from 1 species
GAGUUUGAUCCUGGCUCAGGAUGAACGCUGGCGGCGUGCUUAACACAUGCAAGUCGAACGGGCUCAUAUUGAAACCUAGUGAUUUAUGAGUUAGUGGCGGACGGGUGAGUAACGCGUGGAAAACCUGCCGUAUACUGGGGGAUAACACUUAGAAAUAGGUGCUAAUACCGCAUAAGCGCACAGCUUCGCAUGAAGUGGUGUGAAAAACUCUGGUGGUAUACGAUGGUUCCGCGUCUGAUUAGCUUGUU